rnacentral:rRNA from 1 species
UACGUAGGGGGCAAGCGUUGUCCGGAUUCAUUGGGCGUAAAGAGCGUGUAGGCGGCCAGGUAGGUCGGUUGUGAAAACUGGAGGCUCAACCUUCAGAGGUCGACCGAAACCAUCUGGCUAGAGUCCGGGAGAGGAGAGUGGAAUUCCUGGUGUAGCGGUGAAAUGCGCAGAUAUCAGGAAGAACACCCGUGGCGAAAGCGGCUCUCUGGAACGGUACUGACGCUGAGACGCGAAAGCGGGGGAGCAAACAGG